AUUGAACGCUGGCGGCAGGCUUAACACAUGCAAGUCGAGCGGUAACAGGGGAGCUUGCUCCCCGCUGACGAGCGGCGGACGGGUGAGUAAUGCAUAGGAAACUGCCCAGUAGUGGGGGAUAGCCCGGGGAAACCCGGAUUAAUACCGCAUACGUCCUUCGGGGAGAAAGCAGGGGCUCUUCGGACCUUGCGCUAUUGGAUGUGCCUAUGUCGGAUUAGCUAGUUGGUGGGGUAAAGGCCUACCAAGGCGACGAUCCGUAGCUGGUCUGAGAGGAUGAUCAGCCACAUCGGGACUGAGACACGGCCCCGAACUCCUACGGGAGGCAGCAGUGGGGAAUAUUGGACAAUGGGCAACCCUGAUCCAGCCAUGCCGCGUGUGUGAAGAAGGCUUUCGGUUGUAAAGCACUUUCAGUGAGGAGGAAAAGUGGGUCCCUAAUACGGGCUCGCCUUGACGUUACUCACAGAAGAAGCACCGGCUAACUCCGUGCCAGCAGCCGCGGUAAUACGAGGG
rnacentral:rRNA from 1 species